rnacentral:ncRNA from 2 species
CCAAUAGCGUAUAUUAAAGUUGCUGCAGUUAAAAAGCUCGUAGUUGAAUUUCGGGACCAAUAUGUCGGUCGUGCUUCGGUACGUACUGUCAUUAUUGGUUUCUCCCUUCUGAAGAACCUUGAUGUCAUUAAUUUGGUGUCUUGGGGAAUCAGGACUGUUACUUUGAAAAAAUUAGAGUGUUUAAAGCAGGCUCGCGCUUGAAUACAUUAGCAUGGAAUAAUGAAAUAGGACGUUUGAUUCUAUUUUGUUGGUUUCUAGGAUCGACGUAAUGAUUAAUAGGGAUAGUUGGGGGCAUUAGUAUUCAAUUGUCAGAGGUGAAAUUCUUGGAUUUAUUGAAGACUAACUACUGCGAAAGCAUUUGCCAAGGAUGUUUUCAUUAAUCAAGAACGAAAGUUAGGGGAUCGAAGACGAUCAGAUACCGUCGUAGUCUUAACCAUAAACUAUGCCGACUAGGGAUCGGAUGAUGUUAAUUUUUUAAUGACUCAUUCGGCGCCUUACG